UACGUAGGUGGCAAGCGUUGUCCGGAUUUACUGGGUGUAAAGGGCGUGCAGCCGGGCUGACAAGUCAGAUGUGAAAUCCCGCGGCUCAACCGCGGAACUGCAUUUGAAACUGUCAGUCUUGAGUACCGGAGAGGUCUUCGGAAUUCCUUGUGUAGCGGUGAAAUGCGUAGAUAUAAGGAAGAACACCAGUGGCGAAGGCGGAUGACUGGACGGCAACUGACGGUGAGGCGCGAAAGCGUGGGGAGCAAACAGG
rnacentral:rRNA from 1 species